rnacentral:sRNA from 1 species
UAAUGAUGCUUCAAUAUUUCGUGAUAGU